rnacentral:tRNA from 1 species
GGCUUUGUAGUCGAAAAGACGUCAGACUGCAAUUCUGAAAAUGUAAUGUUAUUACCUUAGCUU